CCUUGGCAAAAGUUGCAAGGUGUAAUCAUGGUAGAAGAAUACAGGUAGAUGUAUCAACGCUUGAUAACAUUGGUCUUCAAUUCGGAAAUAGGUUUGACAGUUCAUUGUCCCAGCAACUGUCGCAUCGACACAGACUUCUACCAUGGGUGUAUGAACAAUUGUAUUAGGUUUCAAAGCAUAAGGUAUGUACCAUCCAGUCGCUUAUCAACCUUUGUUGACACUAGACUUUUUCGCGCUGGUCGCUUUUUUCACAAACAAACACAACAAAUCAACACAAAAUCAAAACACAAACAAAACUCCAUUUUUUUCUUUUAUCUUGAUCAAACAAAUUUUUUGCGAAAUUUUUGCCAAGUCUUUUAUUUAAACAAUUAUGGAGGGAGUCGGAGACCCCCCUCCUCCACCUGUUCCCCCACCACCUAUUGGGGAUACCAAUAAAAGAAGAGCCAAAAACAUUGAAAAUGAUAAUAAAAGUUUUAAAAACAAUAAUGGCCAACCAAUAAAAAAUACCAACACCAAUAAAAUAAUUUCAUCCAAAACCACGGACAAAAUGGACACCGAAUACAAUUACAAUUCGCUAAAUGAUGGAAAUGUACUGUAUACACCAAACCAUCCAGGGCCAUUUUAUGUCAUAGUGUCGUCAGAAACGCCAAUCAGCUCUAGGAGGAAAAACUGCGAACUCCAUUUGUAUAUACGUCUAAAGCAAAUCAAUCUCACUAACUAUGCUUGCAAGUGUGUGGGAUAUAACACUUUUAGAAUGACGUUCAACAAUUUUGAAUCUGCCAACUUAUUUGCCACAAAUCCCAAUUUAAAAACUGUUGGAUUAAAGGCAUACAUCCCAGAGAGAUUUGUUCAACGUUUUUAUAUUAUCAAAAAUGUACCUACGUGCCUUUCUGCAAAUAUUAUAAAGGAUGAAAUUAUGCAAAACAAUGAAUGUAUGGAAGUAGUCUCAAUUUAUCGCUUUACUAGGAAAAAUGAUUCUGGUUUAAUCGUACCCACAGAAACUAUAAAGAUUGGUAUUAUUUUUGAUGGAAUUCCUACGAAAAUAUAUAUGUGUGGAACAAAAAUAACACCGGACUUGUAUGUACCACCUGUUCGGCUGUGUUUAAACUGCGGCCGUUUAGGCCACAUUGCUCUUCGUUGCAGGUCGACGAAGUAGUGUCUAAACUGUGGAAAAGAUAUUCUAUGUGCUACAAAUUGCAGUAAGGAAAAUAGAUGUUUAGAUUGUCGUUCUACAACAACCUGUAAAGAACUAUGCACGUCUCCAAGAUGUAUACUUUGCAACAAAAUAGAUCAUCUUGCAACAGAUUCCAAAAAUUGUUUGAAGUGGAAGUCUGAAAGAAAUAUUAGCAGCAUUAUGGCCCUAACAAACCUAUCUAGAAGGGAGAUUCUCCAAAAUUACCCAGAGACAAGAAAUCGUUUCCAAAUUCUUUCUGAACGUGAUUUUAAUAAUGAGUUCCCGCCUCUCUUAACAAACAGGACUCCAAAAAUUAAUAUACAUGAUGCAAUUAACAAAAAAAUUACAAGUAUUAAAUAUAGCAAAGUUGCGGCUCCAAUAACGAAAAAUCAACAUGCCAUUGCAAGCCCAAUCCAUGUAAAUCCAACCAAAGCAGUAUUUGAUCAUCAAAAUUUUUCUAAAGUGACAGAAAUAGAAAGAGCAUCAUUUUUAAGGCAAAUGUCCACAAUACUUACGUCUCUUAACUGCACAGAAGGUCUUGAUGUUUUAAAGAAAUUUCAACAAAUAGUCAUUCCAGCAUCAGCAAACAACCAAAGCCCAUAUACAUCAGAAGCCAAUGAAGAAAGCCAAUUAGUAA